rnacentral:rRNA from 1 species
AGAAUCAACGCUGGCGGCGUGCCUAACACAUGCAAGUCGAACGAGAAAGUGGAGCAAUCCAUUAGUAAAGUGGCGCACGGGUGAGUAACACGUGACUAACCUACCUUUUAGUGGGGGAUAACCUAGGGAAACCUGGGCUAAUACCGCAUAAUACCUACGGGUCAAAGCAGCAAUGCGCUGAAAGAGGGGGUCGCGGUCGAUUAGUUAGUUGGCAGGGUAAUGGCCUACCAAGACUGUGAUCGAUAUCCGGCCUGAGAGGGCGCACGGACACACUGGAACUGAAACACGGUCCAGACUCCUACGGGAGGCAGCAGUGGGAAUUUUGCGCAAUGGGGGAAACCCUGACGCAGCAACGCCGCGUGGAGGAUGAAGUCCCUUGGGACGUAAACUCCUUUCGAUCGGGACGAUAAUGACGGUACCGGAAGAAGAAGCCCCGGCUAACUUCGUGCCAGCAGCCGC